GGGACACGACACGUAUCACUGUUCAAGAGAUCCCCUGAGAAAUGAGGACUAGAAACUGAUACAAACCUGAAGACGGAGUCUCUUCAUUGGUCCAGUGUGGGUUAUAUCGUUCAGGUAGCAGACUUCCCGCAAUACCAUCCUCGUUUCUGCGUCCAACGAAUUGAAUACGAAAACCUCAAACGGAUCUGCAAAAAA